CCUGGGGCUCCUGCUGCUGCUGCCUGGUCCAAGAGAUGUCAACAGUAAGCAGCAAAAGAAAAUUGCAACCCGUAUGUGGAGUUGAGAAGAGCAGGAAGGUCGUGGAGAAAUGAAUGGACCAAUCCACCAGUUCAUGAUUUCAUUAUUUGUGAGAGGCAUAACAGCUGCAGUUUAGGAAUUUUAGGAAGAGGAACAUGGUGUUCAUAGGAGACACAAAUCUACAAGAAUCUUAUAUGAGCCACUGGAUUUGGUACUAUGAAUGGAUCAGUUCCAGCUUUGUGCUCCAAAUCUUCCUCCUGCUGCCCGUCACAUCUCUGCAUUCCUCUCCCAGUGCCCUUCUCCAAUCUUUCUCCUGUUACCAGCCCCAACCCACUUAUUCUUAACCCCCGCCCCGACACACACACAUGCACGUGCGACAGCAGACAGAAAACAGAAUGAUGCUUCUCCCUCAUCUGUGUCCUGUUUGACUCUGCCAGGAUUUCAUCCUCUCCACUCUGAGGUGAAGGGAACAG